AAAAAAGCUAUGAUGGAGACAAGUAAAAAAAAUAAUCACCAAUAGUGAGCUGGAGAUAGUGUAAACCCAGUGGCAGAGUUUUUUUGAAUAACACUCCGGAGUUGUAAACUGAAAUAUUUUUAGAUUGUAAUUUAAACUAUUAUGUUUGAUUCAGAUUUAAAUAAAGUAGGUGCGCCGUAUUCCAUACGUUAUUUGGAUACCAGUAAUAGCUGGAAAGAGAGACCAUAUGGUAAAUUAGGUGGCACCGCGGGUAAACGUCAAUUCGUCCUAUUA
rnacentral:ncRNA from 1 species